GUCUAUGGCCAUACCACCCUGAAUGUGCCAGAUUUCUUAUCUGAUCUCUGAAACUAAGUAGGGUCAGCCAGGUUAGUACUUAGAUAGGAGAUGAUAAAUACCAGAUGUUUUAGGCU
rnacentral:rRNA from 1 species